UCUCUCUCCUCGUCGCGGCGAGAGUUCUGAUUUCCAUCUGAAUCCGCGGGAAAAAGAGAGAUCAAAGUCCUAUGGAAAAUCGAUCGCGUCCAGGUUCUCUGUAGUCGAUUCUCUUCUUUGUUCUCUCUCGUUCGAGUUCUUCAUUGCUUUAUAGGUUUCGUGCUGUGUUCCUGUUCAGAAUCAUCCAUGUGGCGGUUUUCUGGCUCGGGGAUCGAUCACUCACUUUCUUCACGAGAGCUUUGCGCUUCCAGGUGGAAUCUCGGGCUGCUGAUGGCUGGCCACCACGUAAAUGAAUGUGAAAUCAAAGAACUUGUGAUAAAAUUAUAGAAGAUUCAUCAUAUUUGAAAGCCAGCGGAUGAAAUUAUGAGUUUGCAGACAUGUUCUGAAAGUAAGUCUGCAUUUUAUAUCUGUAGGAUUUUUAUCAUUAUCUUGUAUGAUUUAAUAUUCCUGUUUAGUUUUGCACUCAAUGCAUACCAUUAGCUAUCUUUUGUUUUGUUAACUGAUCAUAAUUGCACCCUGCAAUGGCAGUAACCUCAUACAGUAAGUUAUUGCCUGCUUGUACCUUAGACACUUCGUUCCAAGUUUUAUGUAAGGAUUUUUUUUUAUUUUUUCUAAAUGUUAAAUAUGGACCUUAAUUACUAAUUUUAGGACUCUUGUUAUUUUUUUUGUUAAUAUUAUUACUUGUGCUUAUACGAUGGAUGGUUAACAUGCAUCAUUUUUUAGUGUGUUCAAUGUCUCUUCUUAUAUUUCUUUAAUUGUUAAUAGCACUGUUUUCAUUAGAUAUAAUCACUAUCUUUCAGGACCAGUUGUAAUGUGGGAAAUGUAUAUAGUAUUUCUAUACAUUAUACAGGUAUGUAUUUAAAAUAUUUUUGGCUAAUUGAAGAAGUUGGUGGCUGUGACCAUCUGAAUUGACGUUGUAAUGGAGGUCUCUUAUCAAAAGACGAUAUUAGAAGUCAAAGGAUAGAAAAGAACCUUGAGAAGGCAGAAUAUUUUUGAACCCUUCACAGUUCUACGGAUCCAUCUAGUGUUUUCUGGCUUGAAUCCAUUACUGUUGAUGUGCCUUUUUGUCUAGGUAGUGUUGGGGCCGCCUUCUUUUGAGCUUUUGAAAUCAAGGACUUUAGUGCUUUUAGUAAGGUCCCAAGAGUCUUAUUUCUUUUAUCUCUUGAUUUGCAAAUUCAAAUUUGAUUAGGUCUGAGAGUCCUUUUCCUUUAUCUCUUGAUAAUUCCCUGAUUUUUUUACAUUAAUCAUCUAAUGAUUUUAUCCUUCAGUUUCAUAGAUCGAAUCUACCCAGCUUGAUUUAUUUUUAAAAUUUAUGAUUUACUGAUAUCUCUCUAGCAAGGUCAUACCACAUACUAUAAAUGGCAAAUAGAAAUGGCUGUUGAUGCUCUGUUUAUUCUUGUGUAUGUACAGGAAAGUUUAGUGCCUAAAAGAUGCAUUAGCUUGCUGGUAUACAAAAUUUCACCCAGUAACACAUAAAUUUUAGGUUGGGUACCUCUCUUCAAAAGGGUUAGGGGUUGAGUAUGUUUAUGAACAAGGGCUUAAAGUUUACAUUGAACCAAUUUAUAAAGAUUGUAUUAAUUUUAGAUGUGGAAAAGGCUUAAAUGUUGUUGCAAGCUAUUAAAUGUGGUUGAUGCUAAAUUCAAAAUUAGAUUCUUGUUGUCUUUGGUAUGUAAUAUUUAUUUUCUUGCUUCUAUAAUAUUCACUUGUUAAUUGCUUUAAGUAAAGCAUGAUUCUAGUUGAAAUAUCUGGCUAAAUAAGGUGUAAGUGAGCCUUUUCUUUUAAUAUUGAAUUCAUGGUUUUUUUGCAUGUUACCAGUUAGGUACAUUAGCAGUAGAGCUGUACAUGGUUAUAAUCUGGACCUGUUUGUGAUUGAAGGAGCAAUAUUUAUUUAUUCACUCUGCAUUUUCUUGGGUGGUUUUUAUUUUCUAUGUUUUCCUUCCACGUUAUUCUUAUUUACCUGUGGGUCAUAAUUGCUUAUCACUCAUGUUAUUGCUGGUGAUUUCUUUUCUGUGUUAGCCCUGACACUGGGCUAUGAGACAUGGCUGGAUUUAUGAUUUCCACUAUAUUGCAUAUCAUACAUACUUUAUUAUCUGUAAGAAGCCCAAGUUCUUCGUUUAUAUGCUGUAUACUUUUGACUUCUACUUUACUAGUUAAUUUGAAGUUUAUUUCUGGUUAGAAUGAAAUUGUGUAAUAGGUGCAUGUAUAAUCUUGUGCACAAAUGUCUUUGUUUUCUCAGCUUUUACUUUUUAGAUAAGAAACAUCAUGUUUAAAGUAAAAAUUACAGUUAAUUGUAGGCAUGAUUGGAUAGAAUACAAAUAUUACAUCCAUAGAGGGAUGAUCAUAUAUGUAUGUAAAUUUUUUUUUACUUCCAACUAGAGAGAAUGCAAGUUACAUUUGUUACAGCAUCAAUCCAUAAUACAUAAAAUUCUAUAUCAUCAGAGAUAUCAUCUUUUUUUGCUGAUCCACAUUACAUUUAUUCUUGUAUUUAAAGUGACAAAGUUCUUAAAUAAUUGAAAUAUUUAUCUUAUGUUUUAUGUUAGUAUUUGACGAUCAUGCCAUACGAUGUUUAGGAUCGUGAAUGAUAUAUCUUGACAUUUGUUUUUAUCUUGUUUAUCCAGAAGGUUAAAUUUAUUAUAUCUAAUAAUAAUAAUUUUUUUAUUAAAAAAUAUGUUUUACUAUAUUCCUUUUGUUAUGAUAUGGUGUCGCAAGUAUGCAGGGAAGGGGUUAGAUAGAAUGAACAUUCCUUUCCAUUAGGUGUCAUUUGGUUCAUGGAAAAAUGGACCACUCUAGGACUGAGAAUGUCGGUAUGUGAUUAUGAGAAUCAAAUGUUUGAGAAAGAAAGCUAGUAUGUGUUCUUAUGCUUGAAAAGCUGAAGGAAAAAAUACGGAUUAUAUAACUAGUGAUUGCAGGAGAUAUGCAUACUUCAUAAAUUGAUUAUUAGUUUCAAAUGUUAAUGAAACUUCAAACCAUUAUUAUAAAACCACAUAAUAACAACAAAUGUGAUGACGUGAUGCCAUAUCCUCUCUGUGGAAAUCCAGAGGUCCUGUAAGAGGGUUCCACAUUACCAUGAAGCUGAAGGAAUUAGAUUUCUUUUUCUACAAAAACAACUUGUAUGCUAAUAAAAGGAGAUUCCAAACUGAGCAGCGAACACCACCCUAAAGAAGCAAACAUACCCUUAGAGGCGUAACAUAAUUCUGGGAUAAACAUGUAAUAUAUCCUAAUUACAAAAUACAAAGGCAUCAUGGAUUGACAUUUCUAUAUACUAUUACUGGAAGUUGGGUAUGUCAGGGAGAGAUUACAGAAUGAUUAAAAAAUUAGAUUAAAUUAAUCAUAAGCUAACAGCUCAAGUUUUGAGGAUUGGUGAUGAUAAAAGUGAACUGAGAGAACUUUAGUUUCAGAUUAUUUUACUGGUUUAAAAUUCCGUAGUCUUUAUAGCUUCUUUACAUUGCUGAAUCUCAUUCAUUAAUCAUUAUAGUAAAGUUUGGAAACACACGCAAGUGUAAUAUUAGCAAAGGAUGUGAAUGGACCCUCAAAACAGCCAACUUUUUUUAGAAUAAAAGGACCAAUGAUUGGUUUUGGCAACUCAACAACAGGAAGCCCAGAUUUUAGACAUCUCAUAUGCAAUUCAGUAUCUACCAACUUAGUACCAUCUUAUAUAAGAUUGUAUGAAUAUUAAUUUUCAUUCAGCUAAUAGGCAUCAGGAGUCUGGUCUAAUUAAUUAACACAACAAACUUUUAAUAACAGCUAGAACAACACAUGGCACAUAUGGUGCAUUGUCAUUAUUUGUAAACUUACAUAGGUAGCUGGUCUGGCUGCUAAAUUUAUCGCAAUUAUAGAGUUUGAAGAACAUUGCAUACCAAAUGUGAGGGAUCUGGUGAUAACGGAAGCAGGAGACACCUUCAUGUUGAACAUGAUUCAUACUGUAUGAUGAGUUGUUGAAGAAAUGACCAUGGAUAAAUUAUCCAUGAUCUUACUGCUGUUAUUGCAGUUGCAAUCUGUUGCAAGUUUCAAUUAUAUCUAUUCAGCUUGGGAGUAAAAAUUGUCUAGUACAUGUUGAUACUCAGAUGAAUUUGAUUGCAAUUUAAUUCAUAUGUCAUGAACAUAGAUUGCUAGAACAUACCCCAGCUUUAUCCCUGGUACUGAUGUUUCACUGUUUUGUGGUUGUGGCUGUCUUAGCUGUAGAGCAGGCAUACUGUAUCUAUUGGUGAUAGUGAAUUGUUGAGCUGAGCUUCUGCUCGUUUUAUCCACUUCCAUUGGUCCAUAAACCUGAUAUACUUAAAAAACCCACCAUUAAGCUUAUUUAAAAGGAAAUAGAAGUCCGUUUUCAGGACAAUUGAACUCCCGCUGUUGAACGAAAAAAAUCUUACGACUAAACAAGAGUAGCUUUUGAACCAGUUGUUCACAUUGAAGCAAUUGAAAAAAAGUUUGGAACUCUACCUUCAUUUGCAGUUCUGCAUUUUCCUUGUGAAUCAUAUCUAAUUUCUUGUAUAGUUCCACAUUUUCUUGAUGCAUAUGAUUCCCCUGUAACAUAAUUAUAGCAAGUCAGCUGAUGCUACUGUACUUGAUAUAAUGAGAUAACAUGGAUGUUUACAAUGGGGAGAAACCUUCUGCCUUAGUUCCGUAAUUUCAUCCCUUAAAAUCUUUUCCUGCAAGGUAAAUACAAAAAGUAAACAUCUGUACUCAAGAGGCUUUAUCAGAUUUUGUAGAUCUUUGACACUCAGGCCAGAUAGUUCUUCGCCCAUCAAUUGUCUGCAAAUAUAGAAGCACAAGAUAUAUUAUGAAUUCUUUUGCGUAUUUGUAUGAAGUGUUGGAUUAUAUUACCAUUUCCAAUGGAUCAGGCUUGCAUUCUAUAAUUUUAUCUCGGUAAUUAGCACGUCUUAAUUAUGAUAUAGAUCAUGGAUGGCAACUUAUGGUGUUAGUAAAAUGUUGAGUACACCUUCUAUGAUAAUCAAAUGAUCAGCCAAGUUUUACCAGACCAAGAAUCAUGUGAUGCUUAUCACUCAUUCCCGCUUACCUUACAAAGUUAUUGUAGAACAGAAGAUUGAAAAGGGAUUUAGAGCCAUAUAAUAUUUGAUAGGCCAGUGCUUUCAGUUGGAUAUUUGCUCAUGAAGUAAGGUACAAAAAAAGGAUGAAAUAAUAGAGUUUGAUCCGAAUUUGAAAUUAACAAAUGGUUUUCUGUAGAGAAAAUGCACAAGGUCAAGCACUGAGGAUGAGCUAAGCCUUUGCAUAAACCAUCGUGGGGGUUUUCUUUGGUAUGCCUCGUCAUAGCUAUAUCAGUAGUCUGUUGAAGCAUACUAAUUGGCUCUCAUGUAGAAGUACAGGAAUCCAUCAUACCUGAUUGGUUCUCAUAUAGAAGUCCAGGAAUCAAUAGGAUUACAGUAAUCCAAGAACAUUCUUGAUUUGAAAAUUGCAGUACAAAAUACAAGCUCCUAGCUAUGAGAACUGCCCAGGAAGUUUGAUAGUCCUGAGCUCUACUCCACUCUUCCCUUACUGUAGAAUUUUCUCCAAGCAUCUUAUUGAUGUGUUGCUCCCAACAGAAAAUUAACCACCUAGAUAAAAGACCCUCCUACACCUGUCAACUUAUUUCUUCGUACACUAGUAUGUAAUUGAUUAUUUUUAUUUUCCCUCAAGGAUUGAUUCAUCAUCACUAUGCUCUGAGCCAUUCUUGUACCGAUCAUGCAACUCUUAGGUUAAAUGGUCUCUUACAUAUCUUCUGUGUAUGCAAACAUCAAAUUUAUAUAUUAUGAAUGUCGUAGUCUACAUGUUUGAUUAUUUAAUAUUCAUACGUCUUUUUGGCAUGUGAUUGGAUUCAAGCUUAUAACGAAAAUUUCCUACAUGCAA